GGGGAAUCAGGCUCGCCUAUACAGAGCCUUCAGAUUUAUUGUGAAGCCAGCAGCCGCUCACAGUGACCUCAUUCCAACAGACUUCAGGGGGCAUAUGAGUGCAUGUGAGUGUGUGUGUGAGCUUGUGUAGAAGUGAGUGUAUGACAAAGGAGAGAGGUGUGUGCAAAUGUGUGAGUGUGCUGCCAUUCGGGGUCCAUGCAUUUCGGACACACGAGUCGUCGGUUGGGAGUGAGCCUCGGGAAGACACGCCCAUAAAGAAGACAGCACCUCUGACCUGCCAUGUGCAGUCUGCAGCUGGCCGGGCACGUGAUCCUCGGCAUCUAAGAGGCUGGAGCCUCGCUGGACUCUGGAUCAGAGUUGCUGAAGCCAGUCAGGGAGCUCGAGGUGACCUAGAGGACCAGGAAGGCAGAUUCUCUCUCUGGAGGGACCACGGUGCAUCUUCUACCCCUGACAGACUGGGAGGAGGAGAUGCCCCAGGUCCAAGUAGGAGGAGAAUGACCUCCUUUUCCCCUCCUGCAGUCUUCCUGGUAGCAGUGCUGAGCUACAGGAUGGAAGAGUCAUGUGAACAGGGGACUUGCCGAAGCCUCUUUCCUCCAGGAAGCCUUCUUUACUACAGACCACAGAGGACCCCUCACCCCACCUCUUAUAGCUGACAGAACCGCUCAGUUCAGAGUUCG
rnacentral:lncRNA from 1 species